GAGAAAUCUAUAUGAAUGAAGUUAGAGGACGUCUAAAGAUACUGUAAGAGAGGAUCAGGUUCAAGACCAGCGCUUAAUUGCGCGGUUGCGGCUUGGUUCGCCUUUUGCGGAACAUGUCUUUUCUCGUUGUUAACUCUACUUCAACUUCUACAACACUGUGGAGUUUUCUACACAACUUUUCUUCUUUGGGAAGAUACGUCUUGUGCGUGCUUCCCAGAGGUGACAAACACAAACAACUUUUUAUUAUUAUAAACCAGUCAAAACCAAUUUCGUUAUGAAAUUAAAAAUAUUUA
rnacentral:rRNA from 1 species